UGAAGAUGGCGGCACGUUAACGGAUGAGAAGAUUUUUUGAGCAAAACGGGAAGAAAAUGAUGUCAAUGUAAGACGCACUUUGUCCCUUCACGCACUUCCUGUCUACCUGCGCGAGGAUGCCUCAGAGUUCUUCAAGACCUUCAAUCAGGAAGAGGAGCCAGAUAUCACCGACACUCCUGUUGCUCCUUUUAAUACUGGUGGAGACUCCUUCAACCCCAACAGCAUCUUUGUUGUAGUUGAGGGGGGCAUUAUUGUGAGUGGUCUUCCCUGGUUGCCUGAUGCAUUCAUUGUGUUGUUUGGCUUGAUCUAUGCUUUCAAUUUACAAUAUCCAAAGAAACUCAUCCACACAUUCACCUUUGUCCAGAAAAUACUGAUGUGUCUGGAUGAUGGUAAACCACUGAAACCAUGCCUGCUGAGUCUGAAAAAUGAUUUGUUGGAACACUAAACCAAGCUUGAAUGCACAUGUGCAUAAAUGUUCCAUACAUGUACACUGACCAGCCAUUUCACUCCAUUCACUGCUGUGUCUGAUCCUACUGUACCAGGAGAACACACACUAACACACCACCACCAUGUUAGGGUCACUCUGUGGUGGUGGUAGUGUUAGUGGGUGUUCUGCUGAUCCAAUUGUACCAGGAGAACACAC